UACGAAGGGGGCUAGCGUUGUUCGGAAUUACUGGGCGUAAAGCGCACGUAGGCGGACUGUUAAGUCAGGGGUGAAAUCCUGGAGCUCAACUCCAGAACUGCCUUUGAUACUGAUGGUCUCGAGUCCGGAAGAGGUGAGUGGAAUUCCGAGUGUAGAGGUGAAAUUCGUAGAUAUUCGGAGGAACACCAGUGGCGAAGGCGGCUCACUGGUCCGGUACUGACGCUGAGGCGCGAAAGCGUGGGGAGCAAACAGG
rnacentral:rRNA from 1 species